UCCGGUCCCCUAUCUUACUCACUAUUAAUUUUUUAGCAAUGCCUUUAGGAAUGCCUGUAUUGUCAUGCACUAAAACUUAAAAAUGAGCCACUUGGGAUGUGUUGCUCAUCAGGAAAAGUACAACUACCCGAAAUUGAAACACCACCUGAACCAUUGCGCGGUUUACUUCUCGGUACAGAUACAGAUUCUACCCUGUUCCUGAAGUUAAUUCGGACUUUGGAUUAACAAAAAUAGUUAACAAUAUUGCUGGAAACGGUCAACAUUUCAAUUCCACAUUCAAAAUUAAAGGCCAAGUGUAUCACAAAGUGGGCUCAUUGCUGCCAAUGCCGAACGAAUCUCAUAAAUUUUUUCAAAUCUACUUUAUGGGAGGUGAGGACUCCACAAGUGCACUCGCCAAUCCUGUGGAUGCACGUUGUGACUACCAUAAACUCAAUUCACCGUUUUUCAGGCGUAUUAUCGGCGAGCUGGACGCUAUGUUAAAUGAGCACAAUGACUUAUUGAAAUUAUUCAAAUCACACAUGCACAAGCUAAAAAGUGUCAAUCACGCUAUUGUCAUCAAUCCUGAUAGAACACCAGCUGGAGAGAAUAUACGCACCUGUUUUUAACGACGUUGCUGGAAUCAUGUGUCACUCACCGUUCAUAUGACGCCCUCCAAUAUCCAUUAAUUUUUUGGAAGGGACAAGACGGAUAUUGCGUUAAUAUUAAACGAGAUCUCGUAACAGGAGGCGAAACAAAUAAGAACGUAAAGUAUUUGGCGGCUCUCUGUUACUCCUUUCAGGUGAUUUCAGACAAACUCUUCAAAUUAUUCCACGUUCAACGUACGCUGAUGAAAUCAAUGCUUGCUUAAAAUCGUCGCGACUGUGGCGUAAUGUUGAAAAAGUACAACUGACGAAGAACAUGCGCGUUCAAAUGCUUCGGGAUCCACCCGCCGAAACUUUCUCUAAACAACUGUUAUAUAUUGGCGAGGGAAAAUUGCUGUACAUGAAAAUACUGGAUGUAUAAAAUUAUAAACGGACUUCUGCACAAUCGUCGACUCGCAAAAUACUCUCAUUGAUCGAAUAUUGCCUAAUGUACACACAUAAUAUGAAAAUCAUAAGUUGUUGGCAGAAA
rnacentral:sRNA from 1 species